UACAGAGGGGGCAAGCGUUAUUCGGAAUUAUUGGGCGUAAAGGGCGCGUAGGCGGCCUGGCAAGUGGAAGGUGAAAUCCCUCGGCUUAACCGAGGAACUGCCUCCCAAACUGCUUGGCUUGAGACCGGGAGAGGUGAGUGGAAUUCCCAGUGUAGCGGUGAAAUGCGUAGAUAUUGGGAGGAACACCAGUAGCGAAGGCGGCUCGCUGGGCCAUUCCUGACGCUGAGACGCGAAAGCUAGGGGAGGCGAACAGG
rnacentral:rRNA from 1 species